GUCGCUUCACCGAUUUAGCACGCAUAUACUAUGCUCUUCUCCAAAAAAAAAAGUGUAUGCCUUUCUUCUUGAAACUCUGGUUCGCUGCCUUUGAUACGAUAGAUACAAUCUAAUUUUCCCACAAAAGUGUAAGGUAGUGAUUAAUGAAUUGUUUUAUAGACACCAUUAUGGAAUUGAUUUUUGUAAACGGAUUGCUUGUGAAAUUGAUUUUUAUAAAUGGGUUACUCUUGGAUUUGAUUUUUGUAAAAUUAUUUUUGUAAAAUUGGGUUGUUGAACUGAUGCUUGUGGAUCGAGAAUUGGGUUGCUUGUGUAAUUAAUUUUUGUAAAAUUAUUUUUGUGGAAUUAGAUUGCUUAACUAGUGCUGGUAAUUGGGUUGCUUGUGCUUUUACAAAAAUCAAUUCACAUAAAUAAUACAAUCAUGUACUCUGCUCUUUUUAUUUGUGUGGAAUUUUCUGUUUUUUAGAAUUGAUUGUGGGUUGAUUGUGAUUUUGUAUAUUUCUUUUUGAAACUUGAAUUAAAUUGUGAUUUGUAUAUUAAGAAAGUAUAUUGUAAUACCCAUAGAUUUGAGAGGUUGAUGGUGAAGGGUGAUUGUUGAGGAAUUUCUAAAGUUAAUCAAAGGUUUUAUAAUAAUUUCUCUCGUCGAGACAUUUAAUUUAAACUUAAUUAGAAGUUAGAAAUUAAAGUGUUUAUUUUUAAAAAUAAUAGAUAAAUUUAUUAAUUAUAUUAUAUUUUAAAAAGUAAAAAAUAAUUUUUUCAUAAAUAAAUUGUACAAAAUGUAUUCAUUUAUAUGUAAUAUAAAAUAUAAAAUAAUAUUACAUAUAAUAUUAAAAAAUAAAAUUAUAUUAAGUUUGAGUGUGAUAUUCUGAAAUUCAGAAAAUAUGGUUCACAGUGAUUGAGUAAGCUUGGAUGGAGAGAAAAGUGUUCCUCUCUUUUUAUUCCUUCCUCUCUGCUACAAUAUUACAUGCUUCUGUCACGCAGAUCCGUACGUACGGAAACGUUAGAUGCCCUCUCCACGCUAGAUAGUUAUUUAAUUUUUCCGGCGCGCACGCGGGCAGGACUGCGAAGUGACUGUGCCUGUCAUCCUCCAUCACGUCACAUCUAUGGGCUGGAUUUCUCACCACUACACUCGGGCUCACAUGUGACCCGGCCUGUCUUAUGUUUCUGGGUCGAGACCUAAGGAGUCAGACUGUUCGGUCUAAAGGACUUCGCGGGUUUUGGGCCGGCUUCGUUUUCUCAGUCCUGAUCUGACUCAAGGUAGAUGAGGUCCAAUCAAUUGCCCCUUUACCUCUUCAGCAGUUAUUGCAUGAUUGAUGAUGUAGUAAAUUUUUAGAACCCAUUAUGACUAUGCGGCCUGAGAACGGCUCCCAUCAAAACGUCUCUUCUUUGUUUUACUGUUUUCAAAAUUCAAAUCUCCCAAAUCUUCACAGAAUUCUUCCUCUCCUUCUGCUCUCUACUCCCUUGUAAUACCCGGCUAGACCCCGGCAUCGUAAAUCCAACUUUCCGGCGGAAUCUCCGUUGGAAUCCAGAAAUCUCGGAUGUCGGAGCCUUCUAGAAUGGUAAAAUAAAGGUUUUCUAAAAUAUUUUAAAGUAUUUUAAGGUUUUGAAUGAGAAAGAAAUUGAGUUUUGAAAGAAAAGACCAAGGAGGGAAGAACCCAAGUUCGGCCGCCGAACAUGGGGCUGUUUAGGGGGCACGUUAGGCUUCCGAAAGUGGCUUCCUUUUGCUGCCGCCGAACCCCAAGUUCGGCUGCCGAAUGUGGUGGAGUUGCGGGAGCAGGUUUGGCCGCCGAAGGGAGUUUGGCCAGCCACCUAUAAAAGGCCCCUUGUCCGAAAAAUGGGCGAGUUUUCUCUCUCUUUUCGGGCAUAGGUGAGUUCAUGCUCUCCUUUGGUUGUUUUUAUACUUUUUCUUCAAAUUCCUCAAGUUUUCAUGAAUUUCAUCUUUGUUUUGAAGAGUUUUAAGCUUAGAUCAAGGUUUUGGAGCUUGGAGACCUUUAGAGCUCUCUUCCUCCACAUCUCAAAGUUUGGGUCGCACCAACCCUCGAUCUUCAAGAGGUAAGUGUAGAUCCUCAUCUUUUACAAUAUUUUAAGUAAGUUUUGUGAAGGGUUUUGGGGUAAAAAUACAUGUUGAGGCUAGAUGUAAAAAAUGUUAGGGUUAUGUGAGUUAUGAGGUAUUGUGUGUUGUUAUGCAUGUUUAAUGUGAUGUUUGUUGGGGUUUAGGCUAGUUUGAGACCCCUGUAUGUUUAUAUACAUGUUUAUGCAUGCUUGUGGUUAUUGUAAUUUGAGUUUGGAAAGUUUGGGAGGCUUUGUGCAUGAGAGAGGCUGAGUUCUGCCAUUCUGGAAGAACUCAGGUUCGGCAGCCGAAGCCAUGUUCGGCCGCCGAACCUGCCUGUGGUGGCAUGUUUUGGCUGCCGAACCCUGCCUCCGAAAGUUGGACUUUCGGCUCUGGAGGGGAGUUUUGGCCGCCGAAGGUGCCGCCGAACAUGCAUGAGUUUCGGCUCUGGAACCACUUUCGGCCGCCGAAGGUGCCACCGAAAGUGGCUGAGUUUCGGCUCUGGAGGGACUUUCGACCGCCGAACCUGCCGCCGAAAGUGCCCUGUUCAGCCUUCCUUUGCAUGAUUUCUAUGAUUGUUUUAUGAUAUUUUAGUAGAUUUUUGGGGAGUUGUUUAGAGUCCUAUUAGAGUAUGUUUGGUCUCUCAUUUGAGUCCACCUGUGUAGGAUCGGACCUGAGGAACCAAGGUGUUCAGCAGUGAGUUAGCUGCUCCAGAGUUAGUAAGCGUCAGCCAGAGGUGAGUAAAACAUAACUUCUUUUUAUAUUAAAGAAAUCAAAUGUUUUAAGCAUGUUCACGCAUCAUGAAUACCAUGUUAUGUAAUAGGUUGUUUGCAUUAGAAUUCACGAAUAUGUUGCAUUGCAUAAUUUGAUGAUGAUGAUGUGGAUGGAUAUUGGAUGAUCCUCUAGCCCUUAAUAUGAUACCAUAUGACAUGAGAUGAUAUGAUAUGAGAUGAGAUGGAAAGACCAGGUGUGGCCGUAUCGCCCCUGGCAAUAUGUUAUAUGUAAGAGAAGACCAGAUGUGGCUGUAUCGCCCUUAGCACAGUUGGACUUGAUAUGUUAUAUGUAAGAGAAGAUCAGGUGUGGACGUAUCGCCCCUGGCAUAGUUGGACAUGUUAUGCUAUGUUAUGAUAUGCUUAAGAGGAAGCCUGAGGAGCCCCGUUGAGGGCCGUGCAUCUAUUGGAUAUGGGGGGGGCUAUAAGUGACAAGUCCAUCCUUGAUGUGUAUUGUUUGUGUUAUGAUGCAUUCCAUGAAAGCAUAUGUUUUAAUCUAUUGUUUUACUGUUUUGCUCACUGGGCUUUAUAGCUCACUCCUUUCCCCUAACCCCCAGGUUUGCAGGGACAGAGAUAGUUCGGGUGGUCAACAGGUUAUAGCCAUGAUUAUGUGUAUGUAAUAGAAUAGUAGUGGACAUGAUGUAAUGUAAA
rnacentral:lncRNA from 1 species